rnacentral:lncRNA from 1 species
CUCGCCGUGCAGCCGCGGGUCGCUGAGGGGUUUCCAGGCGCGCGACAGAAGGUGCAGCCCUGGCUGCUAUCUGCUGCUGGCCCCGGGGAUGGCUUCUCCGAGUCUGGACAGGUGGCUGGACUCGACGCAGCUGCUGGGUUCGGGGUGGCCUCCUGGCCUCGGCCUCUGCGAGCCUCCCAGGGUUCCCCUGGGCCGGCUGGUUCCACUCAGAGGGCGACAAGCCGGGGACCGGCGCGUCAGGCUCUCGGAACAGACUGUACACCUUGGCUGCAGCCGCUGCGGGGUGGCUGCCCACGGGGUGCCACAACCGAUUCGCAUCCCUGCUAGCUGGUUCGUAUCUCCCUAUGGAAUCCCGUUGGGCAUGACUUGUCCCCAUCAAGACAGCCAGGACAAGUGGCAGGAAGCCCCUCCAACGCACCCGUCGGAUGCAUCCGGAGCAGCGAGCGGUGGUCGGCGCUCUCAUGGCGCCAGAGUGGCUGCAGAGCUGUGGGCACCGGAGACCUCGCGGGGAGGUGCUUUCCAUCGUUCGCUCCACAGACCCGCCUGGCGACUUGCCCCUUCCCGUCUAGGGGACCUCUGAAACAGCCGUUUGGGGGUCCAGGGGUUCCUAGGUAAGGGCUGUAUGGCGUGAGCUGCCCGGGCUGCGCACCGAGCCCGAGCCUGCCGCACCUUCGCUCCCGCACUGCCGCCGUCUGAAGGGGAACCGAAGGGUUUUAUUUUUGGAAACCGCCCCCUGCUUUUUCGCCUCUUUUAUCCACGCCAUGCCCCCCUCCUUGGAGGGACAGCUCGGCCCCCUUAUUACGGGAGACAAGAAUUCCAGCAACACCCUCUUUGGCACCGAGAAGCGAGCGGGCGGCGAGGGGAUUAACCCGUGAGGAGCUGCGGGCGACAGGGCAGACCCGGGGACUGGAAAGACAGAUGGCGUCUGCCUGGACCAGCGCACCUGAGCUGCCUUUUUCCUGUCCUGGGCAAACUCAAGUUGUCCACCUGUCCUGGAUGUAUUUUCUGUUCCUGACCUCACGGACCCAGAUGAACUGCUUCUCGGGCCUGAAGGAAGCUGGGGAAGGUACCCAGACCGGAGUAAUGGGGACCGAGCCCGAGGCAUGCGCGCCUGGUCUCGUUGCUUCCACCUCUGACCGCUGGGGGCGCUAGGCGAGAAUGCAGGUGUCCCUGGGGCAGCUCCCAAGAGCCGGUUGCCUAUGGGGAAGGGCAACUUGGGGCGCGCGCCCCCUGGUGGAGCUGGUCACACCCUUGGCCACCGUGUUUUGUAGCGACACACUCUGCCAACCUGCUUAGAGCCUAGAUCUUAAUCUGCUUCCUGUGGCGCCAAGCCUUGACCUGGGCCUAUGGUGAUGGUGGAUGCCCGCUGGAAGAGUUGUUCUCUUUUUACAAAGGUAGGCAUGGAGCCUCUUGAAUAAGGUGACUAAAGGAGAGUAUUGCUAAAGAUGGAAAUAAAACCCAGGCUAGUGGCCUCUGGCCCACAGUCCACUCUUUGAACUCCUACCACCGCCCCUCAUUCCUUGGAGAAUUUCCCCAAGGGGCUGCAUGAGCCUUUGAGCCCUGCUGGGCCGGGUUCUCACACCUUCUUGUAUUGAAGGGGACAGGGAUGUCCGUUGCCUCCCACCUAAAUUAACCUUCUUCCCUGUGUCCCAUGCCCCAAAGCCUAAAAGGCUAGGCAUAUAUGGUUUUCCUGAAAGUGUUUUCACAGCCUACUGGCUCCUAAGCAGACAGGAUAAAAGAGCCUGUAAAGGCACCAAUUACAACUUCCCAUACCAGCCCCUCCCUUCCCAGAAUCCUAAGUAAUACCUAACUGGAUUAGAAAGUCUCAAUAUUUGACACUGGCCUACGGAGUCCUCCCUGCCCGGCUGGUUUUCUGACCGAUCUGAACUUACUCCUGCUCGGUAUUCAUUACACAGUACCCUCACAGUCUCUGCUUGGCAAAUGUUUGAUGCAUUGUGACGGCUCAUCUCUCUACCUAGAGUAUUCAUCUCCAAGAGGUCUUCAGGACUACCUCUUCAUUUCACCUCACAGAGCAAACAUCGGCCCCUACAGUGGCCAUGUGUGUUCUUCCGCUUCCCAUUCCUGUGAGGAAAUACCCAAGCUUGCCCACUUACAAGGGGAAAUCAUUUCCUGGGGCUUUGUUGUUGUCUUGGGUUGGUUUGGUUUUUGUUGUUAUUCUUUGGUUUUGGUUUUUCUCAAGACAGAGUUUCUCUGUUUAGCUCUGGCUGUCUCCUUUGUAAGACAGGAUGGCCUUCAGCUCAGAGAUUUGUCUGUCCCCUGAGUACUGGGAUUAAAGGCAUACGGUGCCACCUCCCAGUUCUUCCCUCCUCUUUUAAAACAUAUUUUAAAAAAUUAUUUUCAGCUAUGUGUAGGUGUGUGUAUAUGUCUACAUAUGGGUGUGUGCACACGAGUGCAGGGUCCUUUGGAAGCCAGUUACACAGGAUCUCCUGGAGCCGGACUUACAGGUGAUUGUGAGCCACCCAAGGUGGCUGGGAACUAGGGACCUCUAGGGACAGCAAGUGCUCUUCACCACCAGCUCUCUUUAGCUCCAUUCUUCUUUACUUAAUACAUGUCAGACAGGGUCCUUGGCUUGCCAAUUUCUACCAGAUACAAGAACUAAGUAACUAAGUAGCCUUUGUAACUAAGAUCAACUUUAGAAGCUAAAGAGUUGAAAGCUAUUCAAUUCCAUCACGAUCAUAUCUAAUUUAAUCCUCUUCCUCUCCCCACUGUAUCCUCAUGAAAAAGCUGCAGGCCCUAUAGUGGGGAAAGUGGGGUGGGUGGGGUCGGAUCUGUUCUUCAGACUCCCCUUUCACGCUCUGGCUCUCCAGGGUCAUGUUUCCACAGGAAGUGUCAGAAAAGGAGUAACAAAGUCUUAUUUAGCUGAUGCCCAAGCAUUGGUCAGCUCAUUCAUAGGCAUGUGUGGGUUCUUUGGGUGUGUGUGUGUGUGUGUGUGUGUGUUCCACCCCAAACUGUCAUAGCAAAGUCAUCUUUGACCAACCUCUUGGCAAUCCUGCAUUCCUUGCCCCAAGAGACAUUCCAGUCCCUGCCAGGCCAGGCAAUGGUAAGGUGGCUACUUAACUUCCCUACCAUGUAGACUAUUCUAGCAAAGUUCCACAGUUACAAUUCUCCAUCAGGAAGUGCAUGUGAGUUUCUUCAUAUGUGUUCUUGCUCAGUUUCUAAAGAUGCACAUUAGUAGCUGCCAAGAACUCUCUUACUGUGUCUUGGCAUCUGUGGUGGUGGGGAGAUCUGUAAUAGCCAUCGAUUGCCCGAGCACCAGAAAAAAAGACAGCAGUCAUAGCAUCUCCUCUUCUGCCAGAUGGUGGCCUGCAUUAGGAGUGUCCUCAGGCUCAGGGAAACCUGAACCCCGGCUUCUAAGUUGACCAGAGAGUUCUUGCCCCAGUGGCUAACUCCAUCUUUUUCACCUAUGGGCAGGAACCAAGGUAGUUGGUAAAAGACCUGUUCUACUUAACUGUGUCCUAUACUUCUCUUCAGAAGGCCCUGUUGUUCUAGGCUCUGUCACUUGAGUGGACAGUGUAUGUUUGUGUGUGUGUGCGCGCGUGCAUGUUCAUGUGGGGUUGCAUACAUGUGUGGUAGCCUGAGGUCACCCUUGAGUGUCAUUCCUCAGUGGUCAUCCAUCAAGAUCUCUCACUGGCCUGGGACUUACUGAUUCCACUAGACUAGCUGUUUAAGAAGCCCGGGAGAUUUAUCUGCCUCUGCCUUCCCAGUGCUGGAAUUAACAGACACAUGCUUUCAUGCCUGGUUUUUCAUUUCUUUUUUCCUUCUUCUUCUUCUUUCUCUCUUUCUUUUGUUUUUCGGUUUAUUUUAUUUUAUUUUAUUUUAACCUGUGUUCUGGGGACCAAACUUAGGUCCUCGUGUUUGCAGGCAGGCACCCCAUCAACUGAACCAUCUCCCCAGCCCAGCUUCAGCAGACACACUAAAACCACAGAAAGAGUCCUGUUCCACAAUCUAUAAAAUUACUCAUCAGUC